CUUUAGUUGCAAAUGUAAGUGUAAGGUACAUAAAAAAUAACUGUUUAAAAUGCAUAAAUAUGUUUAGAGCAUUUAAGAGUAGUAAUAGUUCAUGUCAUACAUAUAAAAUUCAGUUGUAAAAGAAAAAAAAUCACCCUAAUAAUUUUUUAUAUGUUUGUUUCUAAAAUAACCAAAUCUCCAUUGUUGGCGUUUGAGUGUAAUACCGCAAUGUCCACUAGGGGGUGCUAGCAGCGAUGGUGGUAUAGAGUAGGUGACAAAACGACAGAGGAAGAAUAAAUCCUAAGGGUGAAUAUACGUCAAGUCAUCGUGGAUUGUCUUCCUUAUUCUGUACCACAGAAGCCAAAGUCUAUAUUGAAAUGACCCCAUCAUAUGAGCCGAGCGUUCCUUGUUAUGGAUUUCCGGCCAGAACUGGACUGAAGGGACCAAUUGUGGGGUUGGUGUACUACAUUGCUGAUGGGUGUGUCAUGUAACUAAGUAUAAAUAAGUAUUGACACAUCUUGUGCCAUUUUGAUAAGCUGAUGGCAAACUCCAGCAAGUCUUCAUUCAAUAUGAAAGGCCACGGUUCCAAAGGGCCUUCCAACCGACAGAACGUUACUCCUUUGUGACAGCAGCUGAGGUACUUACCACACCGGAGAUGUGACAUUCUACUCGCCAAGAGUUGACUUUUGCAGCCAAAGAUCAGACCGCCAAGGUGCCCAACAGCACUCGACCCAUUUGGCCUCUGCAACAAGUGAUGAGCUCAUGGGAGGGUCGACUACUGUUUCCUUUGGGCCCGGCCACCAGACGCUCGCCCCACAUCCAGGCCUGGCUCCAGAGGAAGGCCUCAGGGACCCACGGCCAGGCAGGAUUGAACCAGCUUCCAAGACGUACAUCAUUGCUGAUGUAGAUGGCAUGGACCUCUAUUCGACUGUCCAACUGCUGAAGCAGGGUUGCGGGGGGUAGCCUAUCCCGGGUUGUCUUCGGGCGAGAGGCGGG